GUCGAGUUUUUGUGUGUGGUGAAUCUCAAGGGAGAGGAGAAGGAACGAGUUAGACCCGUGAGGAGGACUGAAGCGCACGCGUGCUAACGUUUUUGCAGCUGAAAAAAAAGCAUGAAGAUUUAUGUCCGCACGGUGAGCAUCUCCAAAACUACAUUUGACACCAGACAUUCCUGCAGUACUGUCUCCCUAAGUUGAAUAUGAAGGUGCAAGUACUUCCCAACCUGGUUAAUGGGAAUGUCAGCUGAAUUUGAUGGAAUUGACCUCUGCCUGUCAUAAGAGGUUAAGUGAAUUCAAGUCUUCCCCGGACAAUCCAUAACUGAAGAUUGAGUGUCACAAAUGCCACUGGUCAGGAACAGUGUUCAGUACUUAAAGUAGUGCAGCUUUUUGCCUGCUGAAGUUGCCUUUUCAAACAACAUGGGGGCAGAGGUGCUCAGUGCGACUUGGUCUAGUAAGUAUGCUGAGGAUGUCAGCCUUAGUCAGUUCUUUUGCUGGUGAGACACUGUGCUCAGAAUCUAGUCAUCCAUCUUGCAAUGUUUUUGUUAAUACUCCUAGAUGCUGCAUACACUACACAGAGCAGAUUUACAAAGAACUAGGAUGCAAUAUUAAGUGCUCAA